rnacentral:sRNA from 1 species
UGUCCAUAAAAUUCUGAAAUCUACGUACCUGAAUGCACUCCAUUCACCAUCUUGCCCCCCAUCUAUGAUAGUCCCAGGUGGAAGAGAAAAAAUAAAAUAAAUUGAGCACAUGUGAUAAUUUCUAAAUUGCUUUCAAUUGCAAAGAAAAUGAUAACAGGCUUAUUAAAAGGCAUGGCUUAAAAUAUCUCAAAAUAUUGAAGAAUCGGAGAAGGGCGAAAGCAGUUGGUGGGAGGUGAAUCCAUAACCCAUUCCCUGAUAAUGCGAGCAAGCUAACAAUAUAGCUAGCGGAACACUUAAAAUGAGUCUAUAAUAAUAAUUAUACAUUUUGUGCAUUAUAAAUGUUGUCCACCCCCAUGCGGAAAAGGACAUAUUCUUAUUGCCA